rnacentral:rRNA from 1 species
CCUACGGGUGGCUGCAGUGGGGAAUAUUGGACAAUGGGCGAAAGCCUGAUCCAGCCAUGCCGCGUGUGUGAAGAAGGCCUUCGGGUUGUAAAGCACUUUCAGUGGGGAAGAAAGCCUUGGGGCUAAUACCCUCGAGGAAGGACAUCACCCACAGAAGAAGCACCGGCUAACUCCGUGCCAGCAGCCGCGGUAAUACGGAGGGUGCGAGCGUUAAUCGGAAUUACUGGGCGUAAAGCGCGCGUAGGCGGUCUGAUAAGCCGGUUGUGAAAGCCCCGGGCUCAACCUGGGAACGGCAUCCGGAACUGUCAGGCUAGAGUGCAGGAGAGGAAAGUAGAAUUCCCGGUGUAGCGGUGAAAUGCGUAGAGAUCAGGAGGAAUACCAGUGGCGAAGGCGGCCUUCUGGACUGACACUGACGCUGAGGUGCGAAAGCGUGGGUAGCAAACAGGAUUAGAUACCCUGGUCGUC